ACAAAGUUGAAAGUGGAAUCAACCAAUUAGUACGUGUUUGGUGCAGGCAGGGAGGGGAAAUGGGGGCAGAGGAGGAGUAAAUGAUGUCGUGGUGGGAUAAAUAACAGAUGAGAGGUAAGAAGAAGGGGAAAAAAGAUAAACUAUUUAGUUCAAACCAGAAAACAAAAUGCAUUUGUGUAUGACACACAAGGAGUUCAAUCAUCUGUAUAUAAGUGUGGCUCGUUGGUCUAGGGGUAUGAUUCUCGCUUUGGGUGCGAGAGGUCCCGGGUUCAAAUCCCGGACGAGCCCUUUUUUCCCCCAACCGCACUGCUUUUGUUUUUCUUCUCUGCAACGUAUAAUGUAAGUAAAUCAAACUUUUCUGGUACUCUACUCCUUCCUGCUAAAAGGAAACUAAGCUUUAACAGAGAUAUUACUGAGAACAAAGGGAAAGUACUGGGGGACCUCGUUACUAGACCCAGAAUGACUCUAUUUCAAGGUCGUCCACUCCAGCCAGCCUGCCAGCCUCCUUCAUAAUUGAAAGCCUGCUGUGUCUCUAGCCCAUUGCGAGUUACCGCUCGUCUCCACGGCUGAAUACAAUCUUUUACAGCCCUCUGCUGCCCCCUGGAGGUAUUCCGGGAAUAAGCUCCCGGACUUCGACAGCGGUUUCCAUUUCGCUGAUUAGGAGCCCGAAAGCCCAAAGCAAUCCCUCUCAGCCAUACCAGAGCCACUCCCACACUGGGGCGAGCAAGGGAGCAGGGAGUUUCCAAGUGUUAGGCUGGGAAAGAGGGCGCGUCUCCAGACUGAAAGCCAAUGAGCCGAGCCCAAAAGACCACAUUUCGUACAUAGCUUGUCUUCCUUGGCUUGUCCCUUUUUGGAUUAUCUUGGCCAUUUUUCUCCACUCUGAGCCUAGCACGGUAGCCAACUCAUAGUAAGAGCCCAUUGAUUUCUUAUCAAGAACGAGUGCCUGGUGAUAGAAUCUUUUGUUAAUUCUUUUGUUAAUUCUUCAUCUCCCGUUUUCAUUUCAUAGAUUUUCAGUUCUAAAAGGAACCCUUCUUAAGAGUUCAUCUCCCCAUUUCCGCAUUACUGGAGGACGAAACAGGCCUGUUGCUCAACAUCACACAGUGAGUUACUCUUUCUUGUUGUUGUUGCUGUUAUCUGGGGAAGGGGUAGGGAGGGAUAUAAAAGUCUUUGACU
rnacentral:tRNA from 1 species